rnacentral:rRNA from 1 species
CUUGCAAGUCGAGCGGAUGAAGGGAGCUUGCUCCUGGAUUCAGCGGCGGACGGGUGAGUAAUGCCUAGGAAUCUGCCUGGUAGUGGGGGAUAACGUCCGGAAACGGGCGCUAAUACCGCAUACGUCCUGAGGGAGAAAGUGGGGGAUCUUCGGACCUCACGCUAUCAGAUGAGCCUAGGUCGGAUUAGCUAGUUGGUGGGGUAAAGGCCUACCAAGGCGACGAUCCGUAACUGGUCUGAGAGGAUGAUCAGUCACACUGGAACUGAGACACGGUCCAGACUCCUACGGGAGGCAGCAGUGGGGAAUAUUGGACAAUGGGCGAAAGCCUGAUCCAGCCAUGCCGCGUGUGUGAAGAAGGUCUUCGGAUUGUAAAGCACUUUAAGUUGGGAGGAAGGGCAGUAAGUUAAUACCUUGCUGUUUUGACGUUACCAACAGAAUAAGCACCGGCUAACUUCGUGCCAGCAGCCGCGGUAAUACGAAGGGUGCAAGCGUUAAUCGGAAUUACUGGGCGUAAAGCGCGCGUAGGUGGUUCAGCAAGUUGGAUGUGAAAUCCCCGGGCUCAACCUGGGAACUGCAUCCAAAACUACUGAGCUAGAGUACGGUAGAGGGUGGUGGAAUUUCCUGUGUAGCGGUGAAAUGCGUAGAUAUA